ensembl:lncRNA
GGCUGAAUUGCACAAUAAAAAGACUUAUUUCUUCUUGCUUCCUGAAAGCCCAGUGGCAGCCUGAUGGAAAUGUCUUCUCUGUGGAUUCCUGAAAUGAGACAAGUUUAAUCCCACUACUGCCCUUGUGACAUUCCCCUGCUCUGAUGCUCCACAUCCACCUCAGGCAUUUAUCAUUCUACCUCUGUACCCUAAGGUGCACACAGAGUUAGCUGAGGGAUGUCAGAGCGAGGAGAGGUGCCAGACCCACAUUUGUUUGGCUAAAACAUACAAUCCCUGGCCAACAGUCCACAGCCCCAACUGCUCCGGAGCUUCCAUGACCUGCUUACGUGUUAUGAAUACAUGGCACAAAAAGCGAGUUUUGUAUUGGGAUCUCAUCAGCCCCGGGUUUCUGGUCAUGCAGGAGCUCAGUGUCCUUAUGUCCACGUAUCCUGUAUGGCCUCUUCUCCCAGGUAACAGCAAUAGGAUGAGAGGUAAUGGCCUCAGGUUACGCUAAGGGAGGUUUAGGUGAGAUAUUAGGAACAAUUUCUUCUCAGAUGAAGUGGCAAUGCAUUGGCACGGGCUGCCCAAGGAGGUGGUGGAGUCACCGUCCCUGGGGGUGUUGAAGAGCUGUGGAGAUGUGGCACUGAAGGAUGUGGUCAGUGGGUGAUACUGGUGGUAGGGGACAGUUGGAGUAGAUGAUCUUAAUGGUCUUUCCCUAUCUUAACGUUUCCAUGGUUCUAUGAUCCCAAUGCAGCCAAGGCCUGUGGAUACUACUGCAUUAAAACAACAACUUUUAUCUUCCUCUCAGAUGUGAAUUUAAUCUUUGCUUAUUUUUAUGCUUCAUAACUAGCGGCUGUUUCUGUAACCCCUGUGUUGAUUUCUCACACAUAGUCUAUGUGAUACCUACCCUUCAUGAGUGAUCCUUGUGUGUUUUGCACGAUUUGACAUAAAAGUUCUCUGCUAAUCAAAAGCUAUUGCUGCUGUGAUGUUUCUGUGCUGUGAAAUGACCUCCAGUCAAUGAAAGCCCCCUCCAAAACAUCCCUGCCUACACCUACUGCUUUGUGACCUUGUUUCCUGCGGGUGAAGGUGGGAAAGAAGAACACGGUUACCUUUGAGCAAAGAGCUGUGUGACCGUGGGUGUCAAUAAUAUCACCAGAACUUAGCUAUGGUGUUGCAGUGCCCUUUUGCUGGCUUUCUGUGCAAGCACAUAUCUGUAAUAGCAUCAUUUGUCGCAAAGAUUUCACUUAGUUUCUUCCUCUCAGGCAUGGUAUGUGAUCACUGAAUCUUGAAGUCAUUCCUCAGACAAGUCAUCUUGCCUUUGAUGAAGAUUUGUAAUCCUGGAAGGGCUGUUCAAAAUCUAUGCCAGUAAUUUUUCAUAUUUGGAGGUAUUAAUGAUGUACAAAUUCCUGGGUUCAGUACUGGCCAAGCUGCUACAGUCUAUUUUAUAUUGAAGUAAAUACAAAUGAUCGAAGCAGAACUUCUGGCUUGAACAUGUGCAAAUGCUACCAUUAUCAGCUGAAGUAAUUACAUGGCAUGCAUUUGUUUAAAUACUUAGUGUAGCUGCUGACCCUAUGGCAUCAUCUCCCUCUUUUGUAACAUCCAUGGACAUUUUGAGAGGUUUGCAUUUGCCAAUGGAGCUCCAUCCCUACUGUGUCCCCAGGCUUGAUGUACUGCAUGGUUUGGGACGCGGGACUGAUUUCUUACACGUGUCCUCUCUGACUCUUCAGGAAGGAUGGCAGCUAUUGAGGUUAUUACGUUGUUACCCCAUACUCCACCCAUGACUGCAGCACAAUCUCACGCUCUUGGCUGCUGUUUCAGAAACAGCCAGUGGAGUUGGCUCUGCAUGGAUACGCUGAGCUGAAUUUGGAGCAAACACCAGCCCCUGUGCUGUAUGUAAUUAGAAGAUGCUUCCGGUGGGUGAGAUGCUGGAGGAGUGCUUUGGCCAUGUCAAACCGCAGUCUCUCUCCAGAUUCAAAUCCACAACACCAUCAACUUUAGAGGUAUGUUUCCUAUCCUGCACAGGCCACAUCUAUUAGCGUUUGUGUCUUCAUUUUUUUCAUCCUUCAUUUCCCUUUACAUAGUCUUAUUUUUCCCAGUCAAUAAAAAUGAUUUUACUCUUCUUAAUUAGAUUUUUUUUUUUAGGUUUCCCAUAGUAAUUAAUGCACUUUUCUUCAGCACUAUAACCUAUUACAGUAGUUAAAAUAUUAAAUCAUGACAGCUGCCAGAUCUAAGGGACCAAGAAACAUAGGUUCUUCGAUAGUCACUUUGUCUUUAUCUUUUAAAUUAGUUUGCAGACUGCUUUACAUUUUUGGGUAAGUAAUAACAUUUGUUGAUUCGAAUGAAGAGCGAUAUAAAAAUAAAUUGCAUUGUACUUUUAAUUACACAGUCUUAAUUUUUGUGGUGACACUCCAGGCUCUCAUAUAAUGUUGUUUAAUGUUUGCGUCUCUUUAUUGAUUUGAUAAUUUAAAUACAAAAAGAUUGUUUAAUUUGCAAAUUUCUGCAUUCAGCCUUGGGGUGCUUUGUUGAUUAAGGAAUCAGAGGAGUGCUGUCUUUUCCCCCAUCUCCAUCAUGCACACAGAGGCAUGUACGUUCCACACUUGCUUUUUCUCAGGCCCCAAAUCCCAGGUACCAAGAUGGUUUUCUCCACUGCUCUGAGAAUGCAACCCUCCCCCUACUUGACAUUUCAAGCUAGGGUAUGAAAUACGCUGCUGCUCCAAGGGGCCCUGGUUUUGGGGAUCCUUGGAGUGGCUGAAGAUAGCAGUGGGUAGAUCAAGAGCUCCCAUUGGAUGAGGUGGCCUUGGCAGGUUCUCUCUUCACCUGGGAAGUCAAAUGGCCUCACAAGUUCAAGAGUGGUUAGAAACCAUCCAUCCUCUGUGGAGGACAUGGUGGAAAGAAGACCUCAAAAAAGUCCGUGGAAUCUGUAGGAAGAGUCUGGUUUGGUGGGCUCCUUCAGUUUCUCAUUUUCUGCUCUCUAGGUAUUUCAAACCUUCCUUUCUCCAACUAAAAUGACAUCUCUAACCUAACUCUUCCAUCCACCUCAGCGCUCUUGGAGAGAAGCCACAGGAACUGCUCCAUGUUACCCUCAGCACUGUAAGCCACUGUGUCAAACCCAUCUAUGGGGGUUGCUUUUGAGAUGUUUGUCCUUCACUUUCGGAGCUGCAAGUAUGUUACAGACUUUCUAAGAGUUCAACAAAACUCAACUUUUCUUUCAAAAUCUAUCACCGUAAUGCUGUUUUCCAGUCUCUCUUCAUUAAUGAUUUACUUUCUGUGGAACAAAUGCACCAACUGAGGACAGAAUCAUUAUUAAAAUCUCAGUUAACAACACAGUAUCAUUUUCAUCCUUUCAUUUCCUCCAUUAUUAUAAAAUUCAAGAUUCAUUUCAUCUAUUAAUAUUAGCAAUCUAUUUUUUUUUUUAAUUUUGACCAGACACAAAUUAAAGAGGGAAUGAUAUUACGGAACUGACACUAGAACUUACUCCUUUUUCUGUAAAAUCUGUGUGUUUUUUUUUUUUCCCCUUCCAUCACUUUUCUCCUAACAUCUAACAUUGGCUUCUUUUGCAUCCCAGAGGCUUCAUUUGGUACCUGGCACUACUCCCAUGGAAGUCAACUGGAAGAGGCCAACAGACUUCCCUGAAAGGUGAUUAAAAUCCAGCAUCAGUGAAGAGCUGAAGGCUGGAAUAUGGGUUUGGGAGCAAGGGAGCUGGGUUCUGGUCUUAGCCCUGUCACAGAAUUGCUCUGUGACCCUGAACAAGUCAUUUCAUUUCUCCGUACUGCAGUUACCAUGUGUUUAAAAUAGGGACAAGAGUGUUUGCUAUUUAUUGUUCAAGUCUCCAAGCAAAUAAAACGUGGUAUUUAAGAGCUAACUAAGCAAGAAGGCACAGAUCCUACUCACUGGAAAUCUGUCCUAGAGUAGCAGCAGGCUGUGAGAAUGGGGCAGAACAGAGAUGCAUUUUUCAUAGAGCUUACAAAUUGCUUCUGUUCCUUUUAUAGCAGAUCACUGUCAGUGUGUUCUAAUGAAAUUUUCUUUGUGCCACUGUAACACUAAACGUAACUGAUAUUUUUUUUGCAGCAUUUCACGCAGAAAAGCUCUGCUCUUGUGCAGUGCUUGCUUGUCAGAGAUAGGUUGGAUUUGUAAUGCUGUAGAAUAACCAAUUUCUGUGGCUAUGGCACAUGUAUUUGCUAGCCUGUGUCUGUACCACCAGCCCUAGGAGCUGCACAUUGGCUAAAUAUGCACAGGACUGCUCUUGCAAUCUCUUUCAUUGCAGAUGGGUGUUACUACUGCUGCAGGUCUUCAUAGACACUCAAGCAGUGAAUUCUAAUGAUUCCAUUUGCAACUGGAAGAAACAAGACAAGAAAGUCUGAAAAAGCCCUCCAGGAGGCCCCUGGUACCAAUGGCACACAAACCAUCCUGCAAGCCCUUUGACUAAAGCUUUCUGCAGUGACAACAGUGAUGUGUCCCUAUGCUAAACUAUUCAUAGCACUGGGAAGUUUCUCCUGAUGUUGUCUGUUGAAGACUAAGCUCUUUACUCACCCUACUUGCAGAAGGUCAUAGAAUCAUAGAAUUGUUUGAGUUGGAAGGGACCUUUAAAAGCCAUCUGGUCCAACUCCCCUGCAGUGAACAGGGACACCCACAGUUCCAUCAGGUGCUCAGAGCCCCAUCCAGCCUGACCUUGGGUGUAAACAGGGACAGGGCACCCACCACCUUCUCUGGGCAAUCUCUGCCAGCGAGUCACUACCCUUAUAUCCAGUUUCCCUUAUAUCCAACCUAAAUCUCCCCUUUCAAGGACACAUUGUACCACUCCUCUUUGCAUUUGCCUCACAUGUGUUUGGCAGCUUGCUUUGUCUCCCCUUGGUCCCCUCCUCAGACCACACACUUCUCUCCCUGUCAGCCUUUCCUCAAAGCCAGGUUUUCUACACCUCCAAUCUUUCUCUUUGCACCUCUCUGGGCUUUUCCCAGCUGAGCCAUAUCUUUCCUGAGGUGUGGAAAUUGUUCUUGAGCCAAGGCCCUACUAUUGCCAAGCUGAAUGGAGAGACUGUCCUGUGCCUCCUGCUGUGUUCUUCUCUGCACAGGCAUCCCAGCACCACUGUGAUAUUUUGGCAGAGCUGGAUUCCCACAGACCUCGUAAACAUCACGGUGCUGGAUCCUUUCUGCCUGGCAGCAGCCUGGCCAAUUGCUCCUCAUCUUGUAUUGGAGAAAUUGAUUUUAACUCCCCUGCCAAGGAGUGCAACAUUUUAAUUACUUCUGUGGAUAAAGCCCAUUGUUCCCAUUCUGAUCAGGUCUUAAGAGAUAAGUAAAGCAAAGCCCAUAAGAGAUCCUGGAGAAGCUUGAGCAGGAACCCAGGCCACAAGAACACUCCCAUCCUGUACUUCUGCCAUAUGUCCCUCACCCUCCUUGUCCUUGUCCCAUUCCACCAUUGGCAUAAUUUUAAAAUCUUUCUCCUCUGUCCCUUAUUAUUGAUUUAUAUUCAGAUCUGGUGUUAGGAGUUGCAAUCUAUUUAAUCUCUGACAGGAGAAUAAUUAAGUGUCUGUGCACUAUCCCUCAGCACAGUUAGGAUACAACUGGGAAACUUGCUGGAUUAGUGGCAACUUCCCUGCUGCCAGUUCCUGUUUCUCAACACAAAUGAGUGACAUUUGGUGGCAAAAACAAGGAAUGAGAUUGGUGGCCUUUGGAAGCAAGAGAAGAUGGAGGGAUAUGGGGCCAGCAAAGCUGAGAAAUGAAGUGCAACAUUCUUUCUGAAGGACAAAAUCCCAGUUUAUUGUACACCAAGACACCUACGAGCAGAUAAAACCUUUAGACUGACUGCAAAACAACUUCUGUUUGGUUCUUCUGAUAUCCAUGGAGAAAAUCAUAGAAUCUUGAAGGUUGGAAAGACCGCCAGGUUCACCAAGUCCAACCACUGACCCACCCCCAGCAUGCCCACUGACCACAUCCCUCAGCACCACAGCUUCACAGUUCUUGAACACCUUCAAGGGCAGUGACUCCACCACCCAAUAUCCAACCCAAAUCUCCCCUGGCACAACGUAAAGCAAUUACCUCUCGUCCCACUGAGGCACUACUCAUGCUCACCAUUUCCUGGCAUCGUGACCAACAGGGCUGGUUGCUCUCACUUCUGAAUGCGUUUCACCCUGAUAAAAUGCCAAAAUAUCCAAUAGCUGAAGGCUGGGAAGCAGAGUGGGUACUUUUUACAGGCAGCAGUACCUUACCUGCACCCGUAUCAGCAGAGUGUCAGUCCUGUCUCUCUAGAAGAUGGAUGGAAUAGUGAUGGAGAACUUAACUGAAUAGUUUUCACACCUGGUACUCUUAUGACACACAGUAUGCUCUGUGCUAGGAAGCUGCUGCAGACGGCAUAUUAGGACAUCUGAGUGCAAAGCAGCUGAUAGGAGGGUGAACCAAUAAGACCAAGGUGAGUGCCUGUGAAACUUGGGAGUUGCUUGAAUGAGCCCAUCAAGGAGCCCUGCAGCAUCCCAAGGUCCUGCAGUGUAACCAGGAGGGCUGAACAGAGAGAGAGGACAGAUGAAUUGGCCCACUUUGGCUGGGGGAGACUAAAGAAAGGUCCAAUACACACUGCCAAAGGGAGGAGGAUGGACGGGGUGACACCUGAAGAUCCCUUUCAACAUCACCUCUCCAUUUGCACUUCACCAGCUGCCAGCACAUGAAGAUGGGUCUCCUCCAGACAACUUAGCUCCCAGUAAGCAAAGGCCAUGAUCCAUGGUGUAAAAGGAAAACCUGGACCCAAAACAAACAAAAGAAAAAUCACUGUGCCAGAGAUGCCCAGUUCAUUACUCAGUACAACAUAACAGAGCAAUGUUGCAAUUUGAAGCUCAGUGCAUCUGCCUUGCUCUAUAUACACUGUAGUCUUGAUUGCUUAUCACCUCCUGCUAAUGGCAGUAUUUGCCACAAAAACUUAAUUAUUUAUCUUCUCUGGGAGAGUAUUUUUCCUGAUUCAAGCCUUCAGGAGUGCAGUGCAGGAUGCAUUUGGCCCCACUGGGCAUUCUUAUACUCUCACCACUGAAAUCUGGAACAAAGGCCAAUAAUCUGGGACAAACUCUAAAAAUACAGCAGAUGCUCUGGGACGUGUUUUAUUGGUCCUUCUAUGUGUGCUUUGAGCAUGUCAGAAAGCACAAGGCCACAGGUAAGAGCUGAAAGCCAAAGCUGCAGCGUGGUCCAGCUGGCUGCAGAGACGGCAGCAGGAAGGAUGGGGUUGGUUGAAAUAUCCCCGCUGGCAUGGAUGAUUUCAGUGGCACGACGCUUCCAUGUGAACCUUCUCACUGAUGGAUUGCAAAUGGUUUUAAAGGGCCAAGUCCAGCUUUUUAAAUAAAACUUGGAAUUUGAAGGAUGAUGCUCUUCUGCCAACCAAACACCUAGGGAGGGAGGAAGGCAAGGGAGCUGGAGAGGUGAGUGUUUGGCUCUGUGUUGCUCAUACACACUGUAGAGUAGCUGUAUUUUCAGGUCAAAUAUCAACAACUGAAGACAAUGUGGGCAAAUUAAUGGUCUGACAGUGAUGGGACAAGGGGGAAUGUUCUUAAAACUAAAAAGAGGGCAGAUUUAGGUCAUAUGUGAGGAGGAAAUUCUUUACUCAGAGAGUGGUGAGGCGCUGGCACAGGCAGCCAGAAGCUGUGGGUGCCCCAUCUCUGGAGGUGCUCACGGCAGAGGUGGAGCUGGGUGGGCUUUGAGGUCCCUUCCAAUACAAGCCAUUCUAUGAUUCCAUACUAUACUCACGUAUAGAGGAUGGUAACUGAAGUGGGUGGUGGGACAUGCAACCAAAUGUGUUCUUCUGAUUGAAGGAAUGAUGCAUUCCUGGGCUUCAGACACUGCAAAACCCCAUGGCUGGCAGGCACUCAAAGGAAUGCAGCAUUUAAUGCUGCCCUGACCUGAUCCAAGCACGCACUGAGCCCGGCGAUGCUUCAUGCCUUGCCCUCCAGCUCAGCUGUGUCAGCAUCAUCACAGAAUGAAUUGAGUUAGAAGGGACCCAUCCAGUUCCAACCCUUCCAUGGGCAAACACCUCCUACCAGACCAGCUUAUCCAAAGCCCCAUCCAACCUGACCUUGGACACCUCCAGGGACGGGGCAUCCACAGCCCUCUGGGUAAAGCACAGUGAAGAAAGCACCUGAAAGGAACCUUGUGCAUGAGGCAGCCCGCUGGCUCUUUGUGUCCUGUGUUAAAGAUAGAAAACGCAGCCCUUCACCAAUUAGGCACACACCGUCAUUGCAGUCAGUCAUAUGAUGCCCAUAAUCCUCCUUGUCUGAGUGCAGAAGUCUCCAUGCUGAGCACGGACGUGCUGUGGUUCCCGGCUGCUGCCAGGGUUGGGGGUGUGGAUUAAGGCCGGGCCUCUGCUUUUUUUUUUGGGAGGCUUUGUCGUGUGGCUCUGAUGCUGCCUGCUGCUAUUUAAAAUACAACCAAAGAAAAACCACAAGGAAAAAACCCAGUUGUGGCAGCUCACAAAACUGUUGGUCUAGGGGCAUCUCAGGAACAGACCCCUUCGCCCGCUGUAACCCCCCGAGCUGUCAGCACCUGAUGCCUCGCUCUGUAGCCCGGAGCUAAGAAAAGCCCUGAAAGCAGCAGCGUCUGCCCCAUCCCUCACUAUUUUUACUGGCCCUGCUGAAGCCAGACCGCAAAGGGCAGAUUUGUCAGCACAGGGGGGGGGGCUUUUUUAGUGCAAAACCCACGAGCUUAUUCAGACAGCGGCAGGGAUGGUGCACAGGAGCGUCUGGAGGUCCCGGCUCUCAUUUAGAGCUGCUGCAAAUAUAGAAAUACCAGGGAAGUUAAUUGUAGCUCCCGACUGACAACUUAGGACACUGUUACACAAGGGCUGUUCCGAAAGUAAUGCCUCCUAUUUUGUGAUGCUGGUUCACAUCGUCAGAGGUGGAUGUUGGUAGGAUGGCAAAAGAGGUCGAACCUUUCCAACCAUAUUCCAUUACAUUUUGUUGCCAUGUGGCAGAUGGCAGCAGAGGGGCAGUCAGACAGAAUGGUGUCUGACAUGAAAGUGCCUAUAAAGAAAAGGUGUGGAAUUCAAUUUCUCCAUGCAGAAAAAAAUGGCAGCCAUUGGCAUUCAUCAAUGCUUGCUGAAUGGUUAUGGAGACCUAACAGUAGAUGUGAGCAGAGUGAAAGUCAGACUCCCAGCAAUAACUCCAUCAUAGCAGCUGUGAAACGGUGCAGAUUUGUACAAGCGUGGCAUGCAGACUUGUUCACGGCUGGGGAAAAUGCAUAGCUAAUGGUGAUGCCUACACUGAAAAACAGUGGUUUGUAGCUGAGGGUUUGCACUAUCAAAUAAUGCUAUUGCACUCUUUGUAUCAGUUGUAGUUUCCAUGGAAAUAAAUAAGAGGCAUUACUUUCGGAGCGACCUACAUGUUAUUGAGACCCGGUUCCAUGGAACGCAUUAUCGGGAAGGACUUAAUGAUGACACAACAGGUAAAGGGAGAAUUUAUUUGCUCAAGGUUACUCACAUGAAGUCAUAUACAAUUUCUGUUUCUCUUAACCCAGGCAUUUUGAGAAUGGUGCAUGCCUCCUAUCCUACCCACAGCACUGCGUGAGGAACCACGAUGGGAAAUGCAGCCAGAACACACCAUUUUGCUGCCCUGGGUCCCCCAGUCCGUGCUCCUCACCUGUUGCAGGCAAUGUGGGUUCCCUCACAGGGCUGCAGAGCGAUCAGAGGGGCUGCAUCACUGCCCUGCAUGCUGCAAAAUAAAUCCACGUCAGUGCAUAAAGGGGGAGAGAAAGGAAACGCCGGGUCCCUUCCCUCCGUAUUUUCCGUGUUUUAUAACACCUCUGUCAGCACACAUUGCCAUUCACUGCAGAAAUUACAUCUCACGAGCGCUACAAUAAGGAUUUGAAGACAAAUGACACGCGAGCACCACAGCUCUGUGCCGGCUUAAGCGAUCCCAAUACCUUCAUCACAUACGGGGUAUCGGGAUGCACGCAGCCCACUUGUUCCAAAUGCCACACGGCAAAGAUUGAGCGUCACAGGACUCCGGGCGGCACGAAACCAGCCCGGACAGAAUGUGUUUUAAAUGCAGGAGGGCUUUCAGACCGCGGGGUGCAAUGAUGGCACCUAACCCUAACCCUAACCCUAACCCUAACCCUAACCGCUACCUCCCUCCAGCCCCGUUUCCAAAACUCCUGAAGGUUGGUGAGGUUUUCGAGUGCCCUCGUGCCCAGGCUGUAACAUUCCCAUCCGCCAUACAGCUCCUGUGCUUUCAAGUUGCAAGAGGUGAAAACAUUUUAGCUUUUCGGGCGGGUAAACACCUCCCUGUGAAACAAUGUAAGCGAGGCGGGAUGCCGCCCAGGUGCACAGGGGAUAAAGGAGAACAGGGGGGGAUUGCUUACACAGGGGCAAAACUCACCCUGGGGGCCAUAGGGCACAGAUUGGGAUGCUGGGAAAGGGACUCCGUGACGGUGCUGUGAUUGAAACCCUGGGCAGCCUGGUCUAGUAUUAAAUGGGGAGGUUGGUGGCCCUGCAUGCAGCAGGGGGGUUGGAGAUUCAUGAUCCUUGAGGUCCCUUCCAACCCAGGCCAUUCUGUGAUUCUGUGUGUGAUUCUGUGACUGGGGAGCCCGACUGGAGGGCUGCGCUUCUCUUGGUCAGAGCUGAACAUGAAGGAUGGAUACUGACGGAUGCCAGCAUGUUUAUAUUUCACUGUCCCGCCCGUUCCUCCAUUCUUCAGCUGUUUCAGAGCUUGUCCUUCAACAAAACAAGCAGCCCUGUAGGAGAUGUUGGCUCACGUUUGGUCUUCCCUUGAAGCUGUGACAUUCCCUGAGCAUCAGCCAGGAACCCCUCUCUCCCCACUGCACCCAUCUCCAGUCCCACUGCACCCCCGUGCAGUCACAGAAUCACAGACGGUCAUCAGCUCCUUGCAGCUCCACUUGGGAUCCCGCUUAUACAGCUCAGAGCGCGUUCCAUGGCUGUUACACAUACACAGCUAAGUUUCCCAAAGGUGGGAAAAAAAAAAAAAGAAACCCCACCAGAAUUUCUCCUCGCAGCAAAGCGCUUCCCAAAGUUUGCAGAGAACGAUUUCCAUUUCCUCUUACCUCCCUGCAGGGCAAAAUCCCCAAAGCUUAGGUAGGGCACCCAAGCUGACCACCCCCCUUUUUCCACCCCCCUAAGACCUCUCCGGGCUCCCCAAUUCCGCACGAUCGCCUUAUAAUUGCAAGAAAUCGCGGGCGGAGCUCAGCGCCCGCAUCGCUGGCGAUGGAGAGAAGCCCGCUAACCCCGGGAGGGCCCUAACAAGGACAGCGCAGGGGCUCCCCCCGCACCCCCAGCCCCGCACCUCCCGGCGCAGCG